rnacentral:rRNA from 1 species
UGUGCCAGCAGCCGCGGUAAUACAGAGGGUGCAAGCGUUAAUCGGAAUUAUUGGGCGUAAAGCGCGCGUAGGUGGUUCGUUAAGUUGGAUGUGAAAUCCCUGGGCUCAACCUGGGAAUUGCAUUGGAUACUGGCAGGCUAGAGUGCGGUAGAGGAUGGCGGGAUUCCCGGUGUAGCAGUGAAAUGCGUAGAGAUCGGGAGGAACACCAGUGGCGAAGGCGACUACCUGGACCAGCACUGACACUGAGGCACGAAAGCGUGGGGAGCAAACAGGAUUAGAUACCCUGGUAGUCCACGCCCUAAACGAUGCGAACUGGAUGUUGGGAGCAACUAGGCUCUCAAUAUCGAACUAACGCGUUAAGUUCGCCGCCUGGGCAGUACGGUCGCAAGACUGAAACUCAAAUAAAUUGACGGG